GACGUAGGGCGCAAGCGUUGUCCGGAUUUAUUGGGCGUAAAGAGCGUGUAGGCGGCCAGGUAGGUCUGGUGUGAAAACUCGAGGCUUAACCUCGAGAUGUCAUCGGAAACCAUCUGGCUAGAGUCCGGAAGAGGAGAGUGGAAUUCCUGGUGUAGCGGUGAAAUGCGCAGAUAUCAGGAAGAACACCAAUGGCGAAAGCAGCUCUCUGGGACGGUACUGACGCUGAGACGCGAAAGCGUGGGGAGCGAACAGG
rnacentral:rRNA from 1 species